rnacentral:misc_RNA from 1 species
GAAAUGCGAUAAGUAAUGCGAAUUGCAGAAUUCCAGUGAGUCAUCGAAUCUUUGAACGCACAUUGCGCCCUUUGGUAUUCCGAAGGGCAUGCCUGUUCGAGCGUCAUUUCAACCAUCAAGCCCCCGGGCUUGUGUUGGGGACCUGCGGCUGCCCGCAGGCCCUGAAAACCAGUGGCGGGCUCGCUGUCACACCGAGCGUAGUAGCAAUCACCUCGCUCAGGGCGUGCUGCGGGUUCCGGCCGUUAAACAGCCUUACAAAACCCAAGGUUGACCUCGGAUCAGGUAGGAAGACCCGCUGAACUUAAGC